AAAACAUUAACUGGAGAAAGAAAAUUGGAAGAGACCAAAGAGUAACCCUAAAAACCAAAUUUAACUCGGAAAGUUGGAUUUGAGUGCAGAUGCCUGACCAUUAUCAUCUCAGUGAUAAUAUAUAUAUAUCAUGGCAGAUCCAACUGUUUACAAAUACAACGAUGACAUGUUUGAGAGAGGAGAAAUGUGUUAAUGGUGGGUUUGCACAAAGACAUGAUGGUGAGGUAUCUACACAGCUUUUUCUUUAUCCUCCUUUAUUGAAUACAAGCAAGCACUCAUUGUCGGCUUCUUUUUGAAUCUAAGUGCUAUUUCUGUUUA